rnacentral:tRNA from 1 species
GGGGGUAUGGCUCAGUUGGUAGAGCGCCUCGUUCGCAACGAGGAAGCCGGCGGUUCGAAUCCGCCUAUCUCCACCA